rnacentral:rRNA from 1 species
GGGCCCGCACAAGCGGUGGAGCAUGUGGUUCAAUUCGAAGCAACGCGCAGAACCUUACCAGCCCUUGACAUCCCGGUCGCGGAGACCAGAGACGGUUUCCUUCAGUUCGGCUGGACCGGAGACAGGUGCUGCAUGGCUGUCGUCAGCUCGUGUCGUGAGAUGUUGGGUUAAGUCCCGCAACGAGCGCAACCCUCGCCCUUAGUUGCCAUCAUUUAGUUGGGCACUCUAAGGGGACUGCCGGUGAUAAGCCGGAGGAAGGUGGGGAUGACGUCAAGUCCUCAUGGCCCUUACGGGCUGGGCUACACACGUGCUACAAUGGCGGUGACAGAGGGAUGCAAAGGGGCGACCCUUCGCAAAUCUCAAAAAGCCGUCUCAGUUCGGAUUGGGGUCUGCAACUCGACCCCAUGAAGUUGGAAUCGCUAGUAAUCGCAGAUCAGCACGCUGCGGUGAAUACGUUCCCGGGCCUU